rnacentral:rRNA from 1 species
UACGUAGGGGGCAAGCGUUGUCCGGAUUUAUUGGGCGUAAAGAGCGUGUAGGCGGCUUCACAGGUCUGCUGUGAAAACUCGAGGCUCAACCUCGAGCUGUCGGUGGAAACCGUGGGGCUAGAGUCCGGAAGAGGAGAGUGGAAUUCCCGGUGUAGCGGUGAAAUGCGCAGAUAUCGGGAAGAACACCCGUGGCGAAGGCGGCUCACUGGCCCGGUACUGACGCUGAUGUACGAAAGCGUGGGGAGCAAACAGG